CGGGGCAUGGCGCAGCCUGGUAGCGCAUCUGCUUUGGGAGCAGAGGGUCGCAGGUUCAAAUCCUGCUGCCCCGACCA
rnacentral:tRNA from 2 species